CUCUUCCUCAAGUUCAGGUUCUUCUCUCUCUUUCCUACUGUGCUGGAGGGAGCAACUGAAAAUUUCUGGUGGAAAAAUGAGCUUCCCUGUCUCAUCGGUGGCUAAAGGAAGCAUAAGGCUAAUCUCAGAGGUGUGCUUCCCCUUACCGUCUCAGCAGGCAAGCAUCACCUUGGAGUUUGCUGGACUCCACAUUCCCCACCAGACCCCAGGCGUAUAAUGUCAUUAUCCAGCCUCUCCUCAAUUCAGUUCAAGGGCACAGAUGAUUUGUAGACGUUCUCUCAAGUGAAAGCAGAAGCUGAAGCCUGGCUUGCUGAGGGGAAGA